rnacentral:rRNA from 1 species
UGGAAGCGUCUGGAAAGGCGCGCGAUACAGGGUGACAGCCCCGUACACAAAAAUGCACAUGCUGUGAGCUCGAUGAGUAGGGCGGGACACGUGGUAUCCUGUCUGAAUAUGGGGGGACCAUCCUCCAAGGCUAAAUACUCCUGACUGACCGAUAGUGAACCAGUACCGUGAGGGAAAGGCGAAAAGAACCCCGGCGAGGGGAGUGAAAAAGAACCUGAAACCGUGUACGUACAAGCAGUGGGAGCACAGAGCAAUCUGUGUGACUGCGUACCUUUUGUAUAAUGGGUCAGCGACUUAUAUUCUGUAGCAAGGUUAACCGAAUAGGGGAGCCGAAGGGAAACCGAGUCUUAACUGGGCGUUAAGUUGCAGGGUAUAGACCCGAAACCCGGUGAUCUAGCCAUGGGCAGGUUGAAGGUUGGGUAACACUAACUGGAGGACCGAACCGACUAAUGUUGAAAAAUUAGCGGAUGACUUGUGGCUGGGGGUGAAAGGCCAAUCAAACCGGGAGAUAGCUGGUUCUCCCCGAAAGCUAUUUAGGUAGCGCCUCGUGAAUUCAUCUCCGGGGGUAGAGCACUGUUUCGGCAAGGGGGUCAUCCCGACUUACCAACCCGAUGCAAACUGCGAAUACCGGAGAAUGUUAUCACGGGAGACACACGGCGGGUGCUAACGUCCGUCGUGAAGAGGGAAACAACCCAGACCGCCAGCUAAGGUCCCAAAGUCAUGGUUAAGUGGGAAACGAUGUGGGAAGGCCCAGACAGCCAGGAUGUUGGCUUAGAAGCAGCCAUCAUUUAAAGAAAGCGUAAUAGCUCACUGGUCGAGUCGGCCUGCGCGGAAGAUGUAACGGGGCUAAACCAUG